rnacentral:rRNA from 1 species
GGGAACGUACCCUUCGGUUCGGAAUAACUCAGGGAAACUUGAGCUAAUACCGGAUACGCCCUUUUGGGGAAAGGUUUACUGCCGAAGGAUCGGCCCGCGUCUGAUUAGCUUGUUGGUGGGGUAACGGCCUACCAAGGCGACGAUCAGUAGCUGGUCUGAGAGGAUGAUCAGCCACACUGGGACUGAGACACGGCCCAGACUCCUACGGGAGGCAGCAGUGGGGAAUAUUGGACAAUGGGCGCAAGCCUGAUCCAGCCAUGCCGCGUGAGUGAUGAAGGCCUUAGGGUUGUAAAGCUCUUUUGUCCGGGACGAUAAUGACGGUACCGGAAGAAUAAGCCCCGGCUAACUUCGUGCCAGCAGCCGCGGUAAUACGAAGGGGGCUAGCGUUGCUCGGAAUCACUGGGCGUAAAGGGCGCGUGGGCGGCCGAUUAAGUCGGGGGUGAAAGCCUGUGGCUCAACCACAGAAUUGCCUUCGAUACUGGUUGGCUUGAGACCGGAAGAGGACAGCGGAACUGCGAGU